AAAUUUCUCAGGUUUUGCGGCCUGCUAAAGACAUAAGAUCACUAUCUUGAUUAAAUGUGUCAAUGUGAAAAGGGGAGUUCGCACUAUCAAAUUGAAAGUUCAUGGGAAGAGGAAGUCGAUUCCCAAUUGAAGAAUGAGAAAUUUUGGCUGGGCGUUGUAUUGGGAGAAGCGGCUGUAUGAAUGGGGUUCUCCGUUUUGGUUUUGUCGACAGCCCCUCCUCUUUUGCUUCUAUUGGCUGCUUCUGAGAAAAGAACAUGUUGAAGUAUAAAUUGUUUCAGGCUUUUGGAUUGUUAGUUAGCCAGGUGUAUGGCUCAUAUGCCAUCACAUAUUGUUGGACUAACAUGUCUAGAUUCAUGCCAAGUGUACAGCUCACAGGCUGGUACAAAUGUAUUAGCUGAGUCAUUUUUGUACUAGCUACAAUAUAUAUAUAUAUUGAAAGUAGAAUGAGAUCACACAGUGUGUGUGUGCAUGAUAACAAUCAUUGCCUAACAGACUCUCUCUCUCUUUUCUCUCUAAAUCGUUUCCUCAUAUACUUUCUGUGCAAGAACACUCAGCAAUAUACAGAAACUCCAACAUGGUAUCGAGAGUCCAGGUUACGAUCUGAGACUGGGCGUAGUGAAAUUACAGCAAUCCAGCUGAGGAGAGCUCUAUCUAGUCUCACAUGGCUGGAUCUAGCAUGGGUGAGCUUCGUGCUCCCAUCUUCAAUGGAAGUAACUACGAUUUCUGGAGAAUAAAGAUGUGCACAAUCUUCAAAUCUCACAAGCUGUGGGAUAUGGUUGAGAAUGGAUAUGAGCAAUCUGUUAAGAAGGAAGAAGGAGAAGCUCUGACUACAGCUCAAAAGCUUGCUCUGGAGGAGAAUGUUGCAAAGGAUGCUAAGGCUUUGGGACUAAUCCAAGGUGCAGUUUCUGACGACAUUUUUCCCAGGAUUGCACUGAAAGAGUCGGCUAAGGAAGCAUGGGAGAUCCUGCAACAAGAGUUCAGGGGUGAUAAGAAGGUGAGAUCUGUGAAACUUCAAGCUCUUAGAAGAGAAUUUGAAUACACUCGUAUGCAUGAUGAUGAAUCAUUAUCUGGAUAUGUCACUAAACUACUUGAGCUAGUAAAUCAAAUGAAGGCUUAUGGUGAAGAGUUAACUGACCAAAGAAUUGUACAGAAACUCUUGAUUAGUUUAUCUAGAGAAUAUGAUUCUAUUGCUGAAGUUAUAGAGGAAACAAAGGAUACAGAAUCUAUUGGGGUUCAAGAGGUUAUAGGCUCUUUAAAAUCUCAUGAACAACGGCUGCAAAGGCAUAAUGAGAGAGUGACUGAGAAGGCAUUCUAUAGUCUGAAUGUGAGUUCUAAAGAUCAAUCAAACACAGGGCAAGCAGGGAGUUUCAAGUCUAAAAAGAAUUGGAAAUCUCAGAAAGGGAAGAAGUGGGACUCAAAGUCUGAAAAUAAUUCCAAGAAGGACAGUCAGACUGAGGGCGGAAAGGUUCCUUGCAAAACCUGUGACAAGCUGCAUUAUGGUGUCUGUUGGUUCAAAGGUAAACCAAAAUGUUACAAAUGCGAGAAGUUUGGGCAUAUAGCCAAGGAAUGCAAAGGAAAAUCAGAUUAAGCUGCCAACUAUGCAUCACACAAAGAAGAAGAAGGUAUCAUGUUCUAUGCCUGUCAUGCUGCUGAAGUAGUGAAAAAUAAUUGUGUGUGGUAUGUGGACAGUGCAUGCAGCAACCAUAUGACUUCACAUGCAUCUCUCCUAGUCAAUAUUGAUACUAAGGUCACUGCAAAAGUGAAAAUGGGCACAGGAGACUUAGUGCAAGCAACUGGUAAAGGCACUUUGGUGAUUGACACUAAAGCUGGGCCUAGAUAUAUCAAAGAGGUUAUGUUUGUACCAGGAUUGGAUGAAAACUUACUUAGUGUAGGUCAAACGGUAGAGCAUGGCUACUAUCUGGUUUUUGGCAAUUCAAUGGUUGAGAUAUUUGAUGACAAGUCAAUGGAAAAUUUGGUGGCAAAGGUUUCCAUGACUGGAAAUAGAUGUUUUCCACUCUCACUAAAAUAUGCAAACUCUGUGGCUAUGAAAGCGACAGUUGAAGAAUCCACUUGGUAUUGGCAUAGGAGGUUCGGUCAUUUGAAUAUGCAGAGUUUGAAGUUGUUACAACAACAGGAGCUAGUCUAUGGAUUGCCUGAAAUUGGCAAUGCAGACAGAAUUUGUCAAGACUGUGCAAUUGGAAAAUCUCACAGGGAGGUUUUUGGUAAAGAGAAAGCUUGGAGAGCAAGUGUACCUCUGCAACUGGUUCACUCAGAUGUCUGUGGGCCAAUGCAGACUACAACAAUAGGUGGAAACAAAUACUUCUUGACCUUCAUUGAUGACUGCACUAGAAUGUGCUGGGUGUAUCUCAUGCACUUUAAGUCAGAAGUGUUUAAUAUUUUCAAGAAAUUUAAGGCUAUGGUGGAAUUACAAAGCGGGUACAAAAUCAAGAAACUUAGAAGUGACAGAGGUCGAGAAUAUACUUCCACUGAAUUUCUGCAGUUUUGUGAAGAAAUUGGUUUAGAAAGGCAACUAACUGUGGCCUAUUCACCUCAGCAAAACGGAGUUGCUGAGAGAAAGAACAGGACCAUUAUAGAAAUGAGCAAGACAAUGCUGAAAGAAAAGAAACUACCAUAUAAAUUAUGGGGAGAGGCAGUGAAUACAGCUGUCUAUAUUCAGAAUAGAUGUCCCACAAAAGCUUUAGAUAAUGUCACUCCUUUUGAAGCUUUUAGUGGAAGAAAGCCUGGAGUUAAGCACUUGAGAGUGUUUGGUUCUGCUUGUUUCUGCCAUGUGCCUAGUCAGUUGAGAUCUAAGCUGGAGGAUGCAGCUGAAAAAUGCAUUUUUGUUGGCUAUGGCAAAUGUGAAAAGGGGUACAGAGUGUACAAUUUGCAAACCAACAAGGACACUACAUCUAGAAGUGUGAUCUUUGAUGAGAACUCAUUAUGGGAUUGGGAUAAACACACUGUUGAUUCUAUCAUAGUUCCAAUGAGGCUUGAAGAUACUCCCGGAAGCUCUGAAGAGGAAUAUGAAGAAACAAUGAUAGACAACAUCUCUAGCCAAAUUCAGGUGACUACAGCUGCUCCUAAUGUUGAUUCACCAAGUGAUUCUCCAAGUUCUACACCUGUGAAGCUUAGAGACAUCACUGAGAUCUAUGCUAGAUGCAACAUGAGCAUCAUUGAGCCAGAGAAUUUUGCAGAAGCCUCAAAGGAUAAAGCUUGGCAAAAGGAAAUGGAAAUAGAAAUGGAGAUGAUUGAGAAGAAUGAGACUUGGGAACUGGUUGAUAGACCAAGUAAUAAACCUGUGAUUGGUGUGAAAUGAUUGUAUAAAACCAAAUUGAAUGGCUCAAUCUAGAAGCAUAAAGCUAGGUUGGUGGUCAAAGGCUAUGCACAAAAGCCUGGAAUUGACUUCAAUGAGACUUUUGCUCCUGUGGCCAGACUUGACACAAUUAGAACUCUCAUAGCUUUGGCAGCUCAAAAGGGGUGGAAACUAUACCAAUUAGAUGUCAAGUCUGCAUUCCUAAAUGGUGUACUUAAGGAGGAAGUUUAUGUAGAACAACCGGAUGGAUUUGUGACUACAAACUAUGAAGACAAGGUGUACAAAUUGAAGAAAGCCUUGUAUGGUUUAAAACAGGCUCCAAGAGCCUGGUAUGAGGAAAUCAAUGCCUAUCUCAUUAGCUGUGGUUAUAUCAGAAGCACAAGCGAGGCUACAUUGUACUGCAAGACUAAAGAAGCCUCUGGAACUCUAACAGUCUCAAUCUAUGUUGAUGACAUAGUAUAUGAAAGGACUCGCCCCGAAUUUUUCAAAACCCGAGGCGAACCCUUUGGAAUUCUCGACAUCAUCCCGAUGCCAGGCCCACUUACUAAAGACCGAGACUUCCUGCCGAAUUUCGGCAGAGUCUCCCCUAUAAAUUGGACAUUUCUCAAAAUUACAACCUGCAUAAAAACGCAUUUAAUAUCCACAACUGGCAGCAUGCACAAUAUAAUUUCAUGCAAUUCACAUAAACGGCCUUCGGCCUUCCUAAAAUUCUCAACUACCAAGAAUGCUAGCAAAUCAAUUCACAUUUUCACCUCAAUUUCAGGACCAACAACAAGGUCCGAACCAAUCUCUAUAUGACUAACAUUUAGUCUGCGGCUGCACCUAAUAACCUUAGGCUGCCUACGUACCCUCCUUGAGGGAUCAAGCCACACGUAGUUCUUCCCUAAAUCCCAAUUCCAUACUUAGGCGAUACCUUAUUUCAUUUCUCUGUAUCUCACAUAAUCUCCCCAUACGCCGGUACAACCAACGCCACGUAUGGGGCCUGUCAACACGCCAGAUAACCUACGCCACGUGCAACCAUGCCAUACUAUCAUAAUAUCUCCCUAUACGCCGGUACAACCAACGCCACGUAUAGGGCCUGUCUCAACGCCGGAUAACCUACGCCACGCGAGACCUGCACAUCUGUUUGGGCCCAAAUUCGGCACACCCAAAACCAAGAGACAAGCCCAUGAUAAAAAUGCCUGCCCAGCCCAAAGACUUGAAGAAAAUAAAAAUAGGAUCCAGACAGAUUGGGUUUCACACCAAGAAUGUUGAAAACGAAGCUUCAGCCCAAAGAAAGGCCCAAAAAGGAAACUGAUGGGCUUCAAAAGAUCAGCCCAUGAAUUAUUGAAUUAAGUUCAGACCCAAGGGGAUAUUAGACACGCCCACGUGAUUGUCUCAAUAUUGAAGAAUCAGCAUUUCCAACUAAAGUUUAAAAUAUAAAGGGGACAUUUCUAAAACACUGCCGACAAGAAGAUCAAAAACCCAGCUGUGUUCGAGAUUUUACUCCGAGUCAAUAUACCAUCUCCCAAGGAAUUCACAGGCCACGCUUCCUAAGCUAAAGCAGAAAAAAGGAAACUGUUCAAAGAAAUACAAAAGGAAAGAACCAAACCGCCAUAAAAAGCCCACACAGACAAUGACAUCGAUCGAAUUAGAGAGGUUCCACCCAGGAAACCAGGGAAGAGACUGCUUUAGGAGGUGACUGCGUGGAGUUUGUCUGCCAUGACUGAUAAAGAUCUUUUACUUUACGUUGUAAAGAGAUCUUUUGUGCCGCCCAUUAUUUUAAACAUCACAGGUCUCUUAUAAAAGACGAAGGCAGGCAUCAACACAAGGGAUCAACACAACAACAUCAAAAAAACAUACACUCAAACUCAUCAAACAAAUGAGAAAACAGCUUUAGAUCAGAACUCCAAAGUUCAGACUUAGAAAAUAAGUCUUCUGAAAACGAGAUCCCUCUCGUUACAAAUUUGGUUCAGCAAAAGCCAAGACAAACACAGUUUGAGUUUUCACAAAAUAUGAAAACCUCAACAAAUUUUACAGCAUAGUUCCAGCCUGCUAAAUUCUCGAGAAUAGCCACUUCUGUCCCUUCAAACUAAAGAAGUCGCAGUUCUGCCCGUUCAAAAAGUCUCCCAAGGCUUGAAGUAGAUUGAAGCUCUGCCAAAAUCGAACUUUGGUAUCGAUUUACAGCUGAAGCCAAGAAGCUAAAGUUGUGGACAGUACAGUCCAGCAUAGACGUGACCAGUCCAGCCCGGAUCAGAAGUUUCUACCCAGGCAGAAAUGGGAUUUCAGCCAUCCUGUUUGCCUUUCUAGAGUUGAUUUCUCCCUGUUUAAUUUUGUAAAAGUCAGUUCUGCCUGAAACAGUGCUUUAUUAUUAUCUAUUCUGGCCAGAACAACCAUUUUGAUACUGAGAUAAAUUGUGAAAGUCCUCACCAGUCUGAGGCAAGAAAAGAACUUACUUGGGAGAUAUUCCUCACCCAAAUUCACAAUCGUUUGUUUUAGAAGUCAGUAACUUGAGGCGCAAGUUAUCCACUCUAAAAAUAAGUCUGCUAGAAUUUACAUUGCUAGCAGUGGCACGCUCGCACACCAAAGAAAGCUGACCUGUCGACCAACUAGUGGUCUCCAAGUCAAUGGGGAACUUCGCCCUUCCACCUCAAGAGUGGAACGCGCAAAACGGGUGAACAAUUUGGCACGCCCAGUGGGACUUCUCAGUAUACAUAUUCUGACGGAAUCAGUCACAGAUUUACAAAAAACGGGAAGAUCUAGUCAGAACCCACACCAGAUAUGGAGAAAAACAAGAUGGUUCUUAGGGAAGGCCUCGAGUCAGAAGAAAGUGAUGCUAGGCAUUCUGCCCACGGCAGUACAGGAAGUAGACGUUCCAGGACUGGCUCCAAAAGGAUGGAUCAAAUGCAGGAGUCAGUACUCCGGCAAGAGAUCACAGUACAAAGGAACCAGGACACUCUCAAUAACAUGACAGCCAUGAUGCAAUGGCAGGUAAACAGACAAUUCCGGAAGGACCGAGAAUCCGCCUUGGCCAGAACUCCAAACCCAGAUCCUGUAAUCCAGCAGUUGGAUCUCCCUUAUGGCCCUCCGCCAGGACUAAUAUGGCCAUACCAGGAAAAUCCCCUAAUUGCACAGAUGGCUGCAGUGCCAGACCACAGAGAAAUUCAGGCUGGACCGAGGGAAAGAGCCCUUCCUAAUCAAGAGUAUGAGGCCCCAGCCCAACCAGACAACCUGGCACUGGCUCAGAACCAGCCAGAACCUCAGCCCAUUCCACAUCAUGCGCCCCCGCUUGAUCAACCUCUGGCACUUCUGCCUGAGCCACCGGCAGUAUUACCAUAUAGACCCAGAAGGAUGGACCCUAAUCCAUUCCCUCCACUUGCAAGAGGGAGGAGAGGCCGAGGAGGGAACAACCUUUUGGCUAAUCAUGACAGGAAUAGACAGGGGGCAAACUGGAGGAAUCAUCCAGAAGUCGAAGAGCAGGAAGAACACAGGGAGGAAGUUCCACCCAGACCACUCAGGGCAGAACCCAGGUUUGAUUACGUUCAGCCAGAACAGGGACAAAAUUUUCCCCCAGCCAAUGCUUUAAAUGACGUAGGGGCGUUACGAAGAAUGGUCAGAGAGAUCAUGGAACCCGAGGCUAGAAGAGGGGAAAGGCCUACUUACAGAAAGCCAUACCCAGCCUACAUCGAUCAAAUACCAUUGUCUCCAGGUUUCAAAGUGCCAAACUUCACUUUGUUCAACGGGGAAGACCCCCAUGCUUCCUCAGUCGAACAUAUAGGCAGGUUCUCCGUCCAAUGCAUAGCUAUAGAAAACAACCCUCUGCUGAAAUUAAGGCUUUUCGGCAACUCUCUCUCUGGGCAAGCUUUUACCUGGUACACCAGCCUGCCAGCUAACUCUGUUCAAACCUGGGAACAGAUGGAAAAUGUCUUCCAUGACUACUAUUACAGGAUUCAGCCAGAAGUCACCAUCAGUGAUCUAGCUGCCCUCAAGCAGAGUGAAGAUGAACCGGCGCAAGAUUUUAUAACCAGGUUCAGAAGGCUCAAGAUGAAGUGCCGAAUCCCAAUGGAAGAAAGACACUUCAUCCAGAUGGCCCAAGCUGCCCUUAAAAUCUCCCUCAGGAAGAGGUUCGACGGGAUAUUAUUCGGAGAUCUGGCAGAACUGGCUGAUAAGGCAUCCAAAUAUGAAGAGCUACUCAGGGAAGAGCAGCAAAGGAGGAACUCCUCCAAAGGAACAUACUAUAAAACCCCUUCCUCUUCAGUCCACCUGAUCGAGGUGGAAUCACAAGAAGAUACAGAGGAAUCAGAGGAGAAAGAGGUUUUAGUGGCAGAAAUGGCAAAACUAAAACAUCCCAUUAGUUGCAAGGCCCUCACAAAGCCACCUAAAGACCAAAAGCCGCCACCAUUCACAGGAGGAUUCGUUCCAAGCAAAUCAACACAAAACAAGGUUUACUCCUUUGAUUUAACCAAGGUCGAUGCCUUGUUCGACGAAAUGCUACUACAGAAGGCAAUAGAAACGCCUCACAGGAUACCGAAGCCAGAAGAACUCAAGGGCAGACAGUAUUGCAGGUGGCACAACUCUUGGAAUCAUUCUACCAGUAGUUGUGUUGUUUUCAGGGACGUGAUACAAGAAGAAAUAACAGCAGGAAGGCUAAAACUGGCAGAAAAACCACCAUUGGUCAUAACGGAUCCUUUUCCUCAACCUCAAGCCAAUAUGGUCAACUUAAAUUGGCCAGAACAGAGGAAAACCCAGCCAAUCACGGAUGCCGGUUGCAGCAGAGGCAGAAGUAUCAUAAGAGAGACCAGUCAAAUACCAAGAGCGACCAUCUCGGCUGGGGUAGUACUAUGCAGUAGGUGCAAAUGUGAAACAGAACUAGAGGUGGUUCUAGACAAACAAAAUCAACCCACACCUAGUGUCUUUGACAGGAUUGGAAUCUCAUCCCAAGAUAAAACAAGGCAGAAGAGCUGUCUUAAACCUACACAGUACAGCGAGAGGAAGAUGGAGCAGCCCAGAAAGAAAAUACCAGUCAAGGCACCCAGGAACGAAAAAUCCUUGGCAACAAUCAUAGAAGGAAGAUGGUAUUCCGUAGGAAGAAGUGGUAGACCGACUCUGGAGCUGACCAGAACUCAGAAAAGGAGAAUCCAGAGGCAAUACUGUACAUAUCUUAAGAGCCAGGAUAAUGCGCAGGUGCGUUAACAACCCAGUUCUGCCAGGAAAGGAAGAAAUCCUGAAAUGCUUCUCCGGACAGAACAGAAAGCUUGCCAGUCAGGGGAAUUGCUGAAAACAGAACCACCAGCCGAGUCUUCUAUCCAUGUAACCUUGUCGUCCAGCAGCUGUCCUAACACCACGCAGGUACCAGAGAAAUCCAGGUCUACCCCGUCAUAAGGAGAAGAUGACUACACUGAGGAAUAUGAACAAGAGCAAUUGGACUAUGAACCUUCUGCAGAUGAUCAGAAAGAGCCCUUCGAAGUAGCAGAACAGGAUGACUGGACGGAAGAAUAAGGGGAAGAAUUAAUGGAAUUAGGCGAAGAAUUGGACCCAGAAGCAGAAGCUUUUGGCGCAGAAUUAGAAGACCUCCUACAAGGUGAUCUGGGAAUUAACAUGGUAUUCAUCCUACCAGGUAAAUUCAGGGCUGUCGAGGGACAGGAAAACACUUUGGAAGGAGAUGUUUUUUCUCAGGAAAGCUUUGAGUGUAGAAUGACAGAAGCAGAGGAGCCACCAGAACCACAAGCAGACAACUCCAGGACAGGCAGAACAGCCAACAAACCAGCUACAGAGCAACCUUGCUUCGCCAAGCCAACCAGAGAAAUGGCAAAUCACCUCAGACCUUUGUUUAUAACGGCAAAUCUUGGGGGUAUUCCUAUUUCCAAGAUCAUGGUAGAUGGAGGUGCAGCCAUUAAUCUAUUACCCCACAGAAUGCUGACCAGGUUAGGCAGAACAGAGAAAGAUCUGAUUCCAACACGGUUGACCGUCACCAACUUCGCUGGGGGCAUCACCAAAAUAUAUGGCAUCUUGGAUGUGGAUGUCAUAGUCGGGAGAAAAGAGUUGAAAAUAGCAUUUUUUGUGAUAGACACUACUUCUACCACCUACAAUGCACUACUUGGCAGGGAUUGGAUCCACCAGAGCCUUUGUAUUCCUUCCACCCUCCACCAGCAGUUAGCAUUAUGGAAUGAAGAAGGCUGCAUGGAGAUUAUAGAGGCCGAUCCACGGCCAUUCCUGCCCUCUGCCAUGUGCUUUGAAGCAAGGUAUUAUCAUGAUGACCUCGGUCCCUACACUUUCCUUGGAGUCAAUCAGAACGGCCGCCCCCAUGGUGUCACGGCCCAAAGACUCAUUGAAGAAGGCUUAGCCAGUUCUCUGGAGGACUGGAAUAGACCUUUUUGUGCUGAACUUCCAGAACUCUGAUGUUUAGUCCCAAUCAACUGGAUAAGGAUCGAGCUGCAACAAUCCGAUCCAUCCCAAAAAGAUUGUUGAUAUACUGGGGAGAAAGGGGGCUUUUCAUACAGAAUCCAGCCAUCAAUAUGGCAGAAUUCACCCAUGAAAGCACAAAAGAACAAGAAGAGGAAAUUUUACAGGAAGAAGUAUUAGAUUUUGCACCGGCAGCACUAGAUGACUCCCUGCCAGAAGUAGAGGAUCCUCUACAGGAGAUAAACUUAGGGACAGAAGAAGAUCCAAGGCCUACUUUCAUCAGCACACUGUUAAAAGAACCACUCAAGGCUGAACUCAUCGCACUUUUGCAGGAGUUCAGAGAUUGUUUUGCUUGGCAUUACCACGAGAUGCCAGGAUUGGACAGGCAGUUAGUAGAGCACAAGCUGCCAAUUAAAGAUGGCUACCUUCCAGUCAAACAGGCCAGAAGAAGAAUGUCUAUAGACACAGAACUAAAGGUCAAAGAAGAAAUAGAAAGACUGCUCAAGGCAGAAUUCAUCAGGCCAGCCAUCUAUGCCGAUUGGUUAGCAAAUAUUGUACCUGUUCUCAAAAGAAAAACAGGGGCAGUUAGAAUCUGCGUAGAUUACAGAAAUCUGAAUGAGGCAUCUCCUAAAGACGAAUAUCCUAUGCCAAUGGCAGACAUGCUAGUAGAUGGAGCCGCUCAUAACCAGAUGCUAUCUUUCAUGGACGGCAACGCAGGUUAUAACCAGAUUAUGAUGGCAGAACAGGACAUCCACAAGACAGCCUUUAUGUGUCCAGGACAUAUAGGUGCUUUCGAAUAUACUGUAAUGCCUUUCGGUUUGAGAAAUGCAGGAGCCACCUAUCAAAGGGCAAUGAAUUCUAUUUUUCAUGAUAUGAUAGGACAUUCCUUGGAAGUAUACAUAGAUGACGUGGUGAUUAAAUCCCCUGAAGAAGGAAAUCACGUGGCAAGCUUAAGAAAGGCGUUCCUAAGAAUGAGGCAGCACAAACUAAAAAUGAACCCCAAAAAAUGUGUUUUUGGAGUCCAAGCAGGAAAUUUCUUAGGAUUCUUGGUCCACCAGAGAGGUAUAGAGGUUGACAAAAAUAAAGCAAAAUCCAUCAUAGAAGCUCUACCUCCUCGGAACAAGAAGGAACUUCAAAGUCUCUUAGGAAAAAUCAAUUUUCUAAGGAGAUUCAUAUCCAAUUCUGCAGGAAAAAUCCAACCUUUUUCUUCCCUGCUAAGGCUAAAGCAGGAACAGACAUUCAAAUGGGAAGAACAACACCAACAGGCUUUCCAAGAAAUAAAGCAUUACCUUUCGAAUCCGCCAGUUCUGUCCCCACCAAAAAGGGGCAGACCCCUCAAGCUUUAUGUAUCUGCAUCAGAGGUAUCUAUUGGAAGUCUGCUAGUUCAAGAUAACAAAGAAGGGAAAGAACAGGCAGUCUACUAUCUAAGCAAAACAUUGACAGAAGUGGAGAGAAGGUAUUCCGCGAUAGAAAGGCUUUGUCUGGCCUUAUAUUUCACUGCUGUAAAGCUCAGGCAUUAUAUGCUGCCACAUACUAUUUACAUCAUUGCCAAAACAGACCUAAUCAAAUACAUGCUAACAAGACCAAUGCUGAGGGGCAGAAUUGGGAAGUGGACUUUGGCUUUGACAGAAUUCACAUUCAGAUAUGUUCCCCAGAAAGCUGUCAAAGGACAAGCUGUGGCAGAUUUCUUGGCAGAUCACCCAGGAGAGGAAAUUGAAAACAUGGAUUCUUUGGACAUAGCAAAUGCAGAUCUGCUAACUAGAGCUCAUGUUUGCCUUAACAAUCCAAUUUACUCGAUUCAUCUCACACCUUGGAAAUUAUAUUUUGAUGGAUCAAAGACAGACAAGGCUUCAGGAGCAGGGAUUGUGCUAGAAGAACCCUUAGGGGUCAGACAUUGCUAUUCCUUCCAAUUAGAUUUCCAAUGCACUAACAACAGGGCCGAGUAUGAAGCUUUGAUUAUAGGGCUUGAGAUGUUGGUAGAACUAGGAAUCCAAUCCGUGGAGAUCUUGGGAGAUUCCAUGCUUGUCCUAAAACAAAUUGCUGGAGAGUACAAGUGUCUAAACCCUUCUCUAGCUGUAUAUCUGGUAGCAGCUAGAAAUCUGCUAACAGAAUUUAGAGAAGCUACUUGGGAGCACAUCCCAAGAGAAGAAAACUUUGCAGCCAAUGAACUGGCUCAGGUAGCAUCAGGUAUACAAAUGCCCGAAGACUGUGUCCAAAGGAUCAUCAAGAUAGGAAGGAAAAGUCUACCAUCUGUUCUGACCAGAGGAAUGGAGAUAGAAGUCAAUUCUGCCUUGAUCACGGAAGAUGAUUGGAGGGAGCCUAUCAUGACUUACUUACGAUAUCCCACUCUGCCCUCUAAGAAAAGAGUCAGAAUCAUGGCUACAAACUAUCUCAUGUGGAAUGAAGAUUUGGUCCGGAAAAGUAAGGAUGAGGUACUGUUAAGGUGCCUCGGAAAAACAGAAUACAUGAAAGUCAUGGGAGAAACCCAUGAGGGGAUCUGUGGCGCUCACCAAGGGGGAAGAAAGAUGUGCUGGUUAAUCAGAAGGUAUGGUUAUUUCUGGCCAACCAUGAUGAAGGAUUGCAUCAACUAUUCCAAAGGAUGUGAAGCCUGUCAAAGGCACGGCCCAAUCCAGCAGGUUCCUUCGGUUCCCAUGAAUCCUGUAGUAAAACCAUGGCCUUUCAGGGGAUGGGCAAUGGAUCUCAUUGGCAAAAUCUAUCCAGCCAGCAGCCAGCAGCAUUGUUUUAUCAUUGUUGCUACAGACUAUUUCACCAAAUGGGUAGAAGCCAAGCCAAUCAAAACCACAACUUCUCAAGAGAUCAUCACCUUUAUAGAAGAACAGAUCAUACAGAGAUUCGGCAUUCCAGAAUCGAUCACAACUGAUAGGGGUUCUUCUUUCAUAUCUAGGGAGAUGCUAGAUAUGGCAGAAACAUUCAAGUUCAAGCUGCUUCAAUCUACCCCCUAUUAUGCUCAAGCUAAUGGACAGGCAGAAUCAAGUAACAAGGUGAUUAUCAACAUCAUCAGAAAGAUGCUGGAGAAGAAUCCGAAGCAAUGGCAUGAGAAAUUGUCAGAAACUUUGUGGGCAUACAGAACUUCAAAAAGAGAAGCAACUGGCAUGACUCCCUAUGCUCUGACCUACGGUCAUGAUGCAAUUCUGCCCAUGGAAAUAGCAGUCCAGUCUCUUAGAAUUGCUCACCAGCACGAUCUCACAGGAGAAGAUUACUCUCAAGCCAUGCUACUUGAAUUAGAAGAAUUGGAUGCAAGCAGGAUUGACACCCUCAACAAACUCUUAGCAAGAAAACAGGCUGUGUCAAGGGCCUACAACAAAAGAGUCAAAAACAAGAGUUUUGAAGAGGGAGAGAUAGUCUGGAAGGCAAUUCUGCCCCUUGGAACACACAUAGCUGGAUAUGGAAAAUGGUCACCUACAUGGGAAGGCCCUUUUAUAAUUAACCAAAUCCUCGGGAUGGGGGCAUACAGGUUGCAGGACCGAGAUGGAGUUGUUCAUUUUGCCCCAAUCAAUGGUAAAUGGUUAAAGAAGUUCUAUCCAACCAUGUGGGAUUCACAGGCUGUACAAACGGAUCCUGGGAUAGAAGAGGAACAAGAUUGACCCUUUUUUGUUUCUUGAAAAGGAAUCUUGUUUAGAUUUAUUUUUACUUUAAAGUUGUCCAGUUUUUUUUUUUUUUUUUACUUUCACAACCGUGUCCGGAGAAUAAAAAGCAGUAAAAAUGCUUUGAAAGCUUAUAUAAAAUAGCCACCUUCGCGGCAAAUUAUUCGAACAAAAGAAAGAAGAAGCUAAAAUCCUAGCUUUCUAAGAGUCUCCUGCAGGUUUACUUUCUUAACAGACAGUUCUUUCUGGAGCAGCACCCCCUGGUGAAUUGAAGCCUCUGCAAUUUCCAAGGCUGGCCUGGAAGCUGCAACCAUACUCUGCACAAGAAAGGUGGCUUUGGUUUUGGAACUUAGCCCAGCCCCAAGCUUGUUCUGCACCUCCCUACACUUUGCCAGCUGUUUUUGGAGUUCUUCAAUCUGCUUCUCCAACUUAUCUGCGGUAGCCUUAGCCUCCUUAUAUCCAGCCACCAUCUGAUCCAGUUCUGUUUUCUGCCUGGCAAAGUCAGCCAGAUUAGCUUCAUGUGUGGCCUUGCAGAACUCAGAAGUUUUGAACGUAGGCCUAAGAUCUUCAUAGCGAUCAUGCAGAUUAAGCGCAUCUCUGGCCAGACUUAGACCCAUUUCAAGAAUAGGCCUCGGAGCCAUGUUCUGUCUAUGCAGCAGGUCCAGGUCCUUCAUCAGCUGAUCUAGAGCCCCUGUAUCUUCAUCAAAUUCCAGCUCAGUGGACUGCCAGAUUUUCAACCUCUCCAUGGCUUCCUCCACCGCUCUAGAUUUUGCCUUGCUCGGAGGAGAGCUGAGUUUCUCCAGCCUCUCCAGUUGAGCAUCCAGAUCCAUGGCUUCAAAUUCUUCCAGCUCUGGAUCAGCAAAAGAAGCCGUGGCAGAUGAUCCUGGAAAGGAAUGAAUAGGCAUCUGCAGAGGAGAACAUAAGUUAAAAACCAGACAGAAAGUGGAAAAUAAAGGAGGCUCAAAGUUAUAAAAACUUACAGCGACAAUAGGAGGUUUCAGGGGGCUGGAUACCGCAGCCAGAGCACCAGUAGCCUUAGGCACUUCCACCUGGAAAGACCACAACCGUUAGAACAGACAGGACAGACAGAACAGCAGGAAAACAUGAACAGUCAAGGAGGAAAAUUACCACAACGACAGGAGCAGUUGCAGUCGUUCCCACCUCAGCCUCCGGAACCACAACAGUCAAUUCUGCCUGGUCCACGGGGUCUGAUGCAGAUGGCCCCACCUGAUCCUCGGCCUCUGGAGCGGCAGUAGAGUGUUCUGCCUCAGCAUCCUCAAAGAGAGCCAGUUCUGAGCUGGUCAGCUCAACCCUUGGACCCCCUUGUUGCUUCUGCGCCAAGGCAAUGCUCUCUGCAAUCACCUCAGCAGGAAUCUCCUCCUGCAGAACGGGGGUCAGAGCGAAAGAAACAGGGCAAGAAAGAAACUGAUGCGAAAAUCGUAAAAAUAAAACCUACUUCUUCUUCCACCACUGUCGUUUUGUUCUGGGGCAUUUCUUCCAGCUCUUCCAACUCUUUCUCCUGCUCCACCUCCUCAAAGGCUUCCCGCAGCUCUUCAUCCGUCCCAGAGGUAGUAGUGGGGACUGCUCCCGUUUCUUCCACAGCGACAUACUCCUCCUCACUCUUCUUUUUAGGUUUUUUCAGCUUGGUAGGAGGAGGGGAAGGACUUCCAGCUGCACAGAACAAAAAGCAGUAUUAGGGAAAAGAAGGCAAGACAGAAUAAACUUAAAGAAAAAGGGUUGGAACAUCAUGAGCUUACCCGAAAUACCAGGCCGAAUGAUAUUGUCCGAAGAAGGGACAGGCCCUUUCCUUUUUCUUCUGCCAGAAAGAGCGGCCUCGGCAGGUGUUUGUUCUGUCUGGACCUCAUCUCCUUCAUCUGCAGAGGGAAGCUCCAAGUCCCCGGCAGCAAUGACAGAAGAGACUGCACCAAGCAGUUAGAAGUUAGAAGCCAAUCCAACAGGAAAAGACAGAAGAAAAUUAAAAAAGGGAGGCUUACCAAUCACUUCUCCAGCCUGGACAGACUGCCCACCUACGCUGGUCAAAGAAGGAUCUAAAGCAGGCAGAACAUAUGUUAGAGAUCGAAAACCAAGACAGAACAAAAUCACAAGACAGAAUUAGAUGUCUACCUUCUACGAUCUGCGCAUUGAUAUCUUUGAUGGUCUGGAUCAGGUGCGCUCUGGCAUCCCCAUCAGCAAAAAUGUGCCAGUUCUCCCAACCGUCAAAGAGCGUCUUGAGGGCAGUAACAGAAGCUGGUAGAUUUUGGAAUCUGGUUUGCCACCAGGCGUCAAAAUCAGCAGAACUGCAGGAAUUUGGCUCCCAUGAGGGAUAGAGGGCAUCCGUGCUAUUAUUUAUCUUGUUCACUGCACACCGGGCAUCCUUGUGCACCUCCAGAUCAUCUACAUCCCUCCAGGAAGAGGCCCGAUUGCAACUCCGAUAUGAUUUCAACGGUAUAAGCUGAGGGCAGCCAAGCUGCCUUGCACAGAAGUUGGGAUGAUAUACUUCUGCCCCCAGAUGGUAGUUGGGAGGUUUGCCCCCACCAUGAGGCAGAUCUCUAGGCAAAGUAAUACUCAAAAACUUCCUCCUGAAAUCUGUUCUGGCAGCCUCAUCUUCUGGCUCCUUCUCAAAAAGCCGGAACCCAGUUUGGAACCAGGGAUAGGUCCUUCUGAUCACCACUUGCCACUGAGCAGCCGACCUCUUGGUACAAUGCCUGAAGAGCAUCAAAUAUUCCUCGAGAGAGCGCUUAGGCACUUCUGCCGACAUCAGAGGAAGAGCCAGAACUUGGUCUUCAGGCAGAACUAUGUCGGGGAACCUCAACUCAGGGAAAUAUACCUGCAGCCAGAUCUGGAUCAUCCAGAAUGCGCCAGGGGCAGACAGGUUCAGCGGAUUUUCCAGAGUGGCAGUAUGCAGAUUCUUGAAAAGGUAGGCCAGAACUGUUGGUCCAAGCCCCACAUCAGUGUGAUUGUGAAGUGCUUCUGCCAGAUGUCUAUACUCAAGCAGAACUGCCGAAGACCGAUUGGGGAAGACAAAUCGGUUCAGCCAAUACAGAAGGAACAACAUAUGUUGCUGAUCUUUGUCCUUCUCAGCACUGAAUUUCUUCAGAUAAUUGGAGAAAGAACAGUUCUGGUUGAUCGUGGCUGGAGAAAUAGUGAAGGAAGUGGCCACUUUCUCUUGGUUCCUUCGCCUGUGAUAAUCCCCAACAGCAUCAACAGGUCUGCCAUGGGGCCUAAACCCGUAAAUCUGAGCCAUAUCCAGCAAAGUUGGAGCCAUGGGACCCACACGGAAAUCAAACGUGUUGCUGGCAGAAUUCCAGAAACACAGGGCAGCAGCAAGCAGGUCCUCAUCUCUGUUAAUCGACUGCUUGGAUAGAAGAAUAGCGUCAUAAAUCCCAGCUCUCCUCCAGUGACCCCCAUAUCUCGGGAGAAGUCUGUCAAUCCAGUCUGCCCAUUUGACGGAACUGUUCCUCACCUCGCUGGACGGGAAAGAUCGACUCAGAUUCUUGCUAACCCAAGAAUGAUGGGCCAGGGCAGAAGAGCUCUCAAAACACAAAGGAGCCUCCGCAUCCUUUUUUAGCAAUUCUGCCAUCUCAGCUGGAACAGGACCAAACCAAUGAGGCCCUAACACCAGGGUGUUCUCGAACAGAUGAAGGACAUUCUCGUCCAGAUUCUUUUGAGCAAAAGGGUGAAGCUUGCUCCUGACCUCUAUCGCGUGGGCAUCAAUCCCGCUCCCAGUGAUGUAAUCGGGAGGAAUUGAAGCUGAAGAAGACGGAGCGCGGGACCUUGGGGAAGACAUCUCUGAUUCAAGGGAAGAAGCGAAAGAAAGGAAGGUUUGAAGAAAGCUAUGGAAAUCUCGAAGAAAAAACUCGCAGAAGUAAGAAUCGGAAGGCAGAAACGAGAGUUGGAAGGUUUAGGGUUUUCAGAGGCUAUGAAUUUGAAUUUCUUUUAAAGAGGAGCUCGAAAACGUGGGGAGAGGAAGAUGGGACGACACCUGAUGAUUAUUAGCUAGUAACUAGCCGUUUUCCCACGAACUCUAGUUCGUAGCAAGCAGACGUGGCAGACGUGGGCGAAAAGACGGAAGAAACUGGCGCGCGAAUUAAUUGGCAAAACAUUAAGUCUAAAAACCGUCUAAAAAACGAUUCAGACUUAAUGGGGGCAUUGUUUGGGCCCAAAUUCGGCACACCCAAAACCAAGAGACAAGCCCAUGAUAAAAAUGCCUGCCCAGCCCAAAGACUUGAAGAAAAUAAAAAUAGGAUCCAGACAGAUUGGGUUUCACACCAAGAAUGUUGAAAACGAAGCUUCAGCCCAAAGAAAGGCCCAAAAAGGAAACUGAUGGGCUUCAAAAGAUCAGCCCAUGAAUUAUUGAAUUAAGUUCAGACCCAAGGGGAUAUUAGACACGCCCACGUGAUUGUCUCAAUAUUGAAGAAUCAGCAUUUCCAACUAAAGUUUAAAAUAUAAAGGGGACAUUUCUAAAACACUGCCGACAAGAAGAUCAAAAACCCAGCUGUGUUCGAGAUUUUACUCCGAGUCAAUAUACCAUCUCCCAAGGAAUUCACAGGCCACGCUUCCUAAGCUAAAGCAGAAAAAAGGAAACUGUUCAAAGAAAUACAAAAGGAAAGAACCAAACCGCCAUAAAAAGCCCACACAGACAAUGACAUCGAUCGAAUUAGAGAGGUUCCACCCAGGAAACCAGGGAAGAGACUGCUUUAGGAGGUGACUGCGUGGAGUUUGUCUGCCAUGACUGAUAAAGAUCUUUUACUUUACGUUGUAAAGAGAUCUUUUGUGCCGCCCAUUAUUUUAAACAUCACAGGUCUCUUAUAAAAGACGAAGGCAGGCAUCAACACAAGGGAUCAACACAACAACAUCAAAAAAACAUACACUCAAACUCAUCAAACAAAUGAGAAAACAGCUUUAGAUCAGAACUCCAAAGUUCAGACUUAGAAAAUAAGUCUUCUGAAAACGAGAUCCCUCUCGUUACAAAUUUGGUUCAGCAAAAGCCAAGACAAACACAGUUUGAGUUUUCACAAAAUAUGAAAACCUCAACAAAUUUUACAGCAUAGUUCCAGCCUGCUAAAUUCUCGAGAAUAGCCACUUCUGUCCCUUCAAACUAAAGAAGUCGCAGUUCUGCCCGUUCAAAAAGUCUCCCAAGGCUUGAAGUAGAUUGAAGCUCUGCCAAAAUCGAACUUUGGUAUCGAUUUACAGCUGAAGCCAAGAAGCUAAAGUUGUGGACAGUACAGUCCAGCAUAGACGUGACCAGUCCAGCCCGGAUCAGAAGUUUCUACCCAGGCAGAAAUGGGAUUUCAGCCAUCCUGUUUGCCUUUCUAGAGUUGAUUUCUCCCUGUUUAAUUUUGUAAAAGUCAGUUCUGCCUGAAACAGUGCUUUAUUGUUAUCUAUUCUGGCCAGAACAACCAUUUUGAUACUGAGAUAAAUUGUGAAAGUCCUCACCAGUCUGAGGCAAGAAAAGAACUUACUUGGGAGAUAUUCCUCACCCAAAUUCACAAUCGUUUGUUUUAGAAGUCAGUAACUUGAGGCGCAAGUUAUCCACUCUAAAAAUCAGUCUGCUAGAAUUUACAUUGCUAGCAGUGGCACGCUCGCACACCAAAGAAAGCUGACCUGUCGACCAACUAGUGGUCUCCAAGUCAGUGGGGAACUUCGCCCUUCCACCUCAAGAGUGGAACGCGCAAAACGGGUGAACAACAUCAUAUCACAUAUCUCCCCAUACGCCGGUACAACCAACGCCACGUAUGGGGUCUGUCGACACGCUGGAUAAUCUACCCCACGUGCGACCUCAACAUAAUAUCACAUAUCUUCCCAUACGCCGGUACAACCAACGCAACGUAUGGGGCCUGUCCCAACGCCGGAUAACCUACACCACGUGGGACCUAAUUUUCACUUGAUGGUACUUGUAGUGUAACCAAAAUCUGGGGAGUUACCUAAGGUAGUGCGUAUAGCACUUCAAACUGACAUUUUAGACUCUUUUAUACCUUUGUACAAACAUAUAUAAUUAUAAUUACAUAUAUUAAUUCUAAUAUUGUGUAACCCUCCACCAUAGUCUAGCAGGUGGGAUUACUCCAGGCGACUUGUGGUCAACCAAGGGUCAGACUACCCUAACCCUGGUCAAACGGACCUGCGGAACCCACGACCUCCAAUUUCCGAUCCGAAAGUCCCUAUGGGUUUUACAAGGUAUAGGACACUCGCCCUCCAAGUUUGGUUCAGAUCGGACGGUUGGAUCGCUCACGAUCGCACGAUCUGACGGUUAAUAUAAAAUAUAAACUUUAAAUUAUUAUUCGGAACAUCCGGGGCUCCGAUUCACAAUCCGUGAAUUCCUACACGAUCCUGGAAUUACCUAGAUUAACAUAUAUUAGAUUUGGGACCAUCCAACGGUCCCAACCUAUCGAACCCGGAUAACGCACAAUAUGCGAUCGUCCGUUCGAUAGUCAAACGACGUCCGAAUUGAGAUCCGCAAAAUCCUACGCACUCGUGACAACCUAAGGAUCUCAUCGAGACAAAGUGCCACUUUUUCUAUGGUGCCCACGCCCCGCCGCACGCGCCGGCAGAGCGUGGGUGCCCAAAGCGAUAAAGCUUCGCCGGAAAAUCUCAAAACCACGGCUCCAAACUCCUACCCUAGGUAUAACACCCUAUUUGGAGCCACUUUUGUUCUUGGAUAUAUCCCAAAAACUGACCGGAAGUGGCCGGAAUAGCGAUCCCAAAAUCGGCCGAAUUUCAAUUCGAAAAUCCAAUUGGCUACGCUAAGAAUCGAUCCAAUACUACCCAACAGGCAGCUAGAGCAUGAAAAGUAGGUGAGAAACCAUACCUUGCUCGUCGGAUUCGGUGGCCGGAGGAGGGAGAUCGACGGUGGCGAAGAUCGGACGAAGCCGGCCGCUUCUUCUCCAUUUUCCGGCGAAACCGCGGCGGCUGGAGGCGGGAGACGGCUAUGGCUGGAAGAGGACGACGCCCCGGUCAUUUUGGUAUCGGCCCCGUCCACAGCCGUGGCCUGUGGCCGGAGUUACGAGGAGAGAGAGAGAGAGACUGACGGGAGAGAGAGAGAGAGAGUUCGCGGGAGGGAGAGAGAGAGAGAGAGAGAAAAAAAAAAUCUGAGUUUUAUAAAAAAUCCCAUUUCGAAAUAUUUACGAUUGUGCCACUGGGUUUCUUUUGACCAUAUCUCUCUCGUUACAACUCCGAUUCGAGCCCACUACGUGUCUAUGAACUCGUCUCAGUACGACCUAUCCAAAAAUACUAGUCACUACCUCAAACUCUCUCCGAUUAAGAAUAUGACCAAAAUGCCCUUAUCUCAAGGGUAAAUUCGUAAUUUCCCUUAAAUAAUUAAAUAAUUUAAAUAAGGGUUAAAUUUGGGGUCGGGGUGUUACAGUAUAUACAGGUAGUAGUGAAGAAUUAAUUGAAGAUUUCAAGACUGAAAUGAUGAGAAGGUAUGAAAUGACUGACUUAGGUAUGCUAUAUCACUUUCUUGGUAUGGCAGUGAUUCAAACUGAAAAUUGCAUUUUCAUAAGCCAAAGGAAACAUGCACUGACAUUAUUGAGCAAGUUUGGUUUGAAACAGUGUAAACCGGUUAGUACUCCUCUUGUGGCAAGUGAGAAACUGUGUAAGGAUGAUGGAAGUGAACCUGCAGAUGAAGAUGAAUAUAGACAGAUGGUUGGUAGCCUACUGUAUUUGACAGCUACAAGACCAGACAUAAUGUUUGCAGCUAGCCUAUUAGCUAGAUUCAUGCAUUGUCCAACAAAGAAGCACUAUGGAACGGCUAAGAGGGUGCUAAGGUAUAUUCAAGGCACUAUUGACUUUGGUAUUGAAUAUCAGAAGGGAAAAGAGGCUACCCUAAUUGGAUAUUGUGACAGUGAUUGGAGUGGAAGCCAGGAAUACAUGAGAAGCACCUCUGGCUAUGCUUUCUCCUUUGGUAGUGGAGCAUUCUCUUGGGCAUCAGUCAAACAACACUGUAGCUCUCUCUACAGCUGAAGCUGAAUAUGUCAGUGCAAGUGAGGCUACUACACAGGCUAUAUGGCUGAGAUUUGUGCUUGAAGACUUUGGAGAAUUGCAGACUGACGCAACUCCAUUAAUGGUGGAUAAUACCUCUGCCAUUGCAAUGACAAGAAAUCCUGUUUUUCAUCAGAAAACCAAGCACAUCAACCGCAGGUAUCAUUUCAUCCGAGAUGCUUUGCAAGAUGGAGUGGUGGACUUGAGGUACUGCAAGUCUGAAGAACAAGUGGCUGACAUUUUCACUAAAGCUCUACCUAAAGAUCGGUUCAACUAUCUUAGAGGAUUGCUUGGUGUUAAACCUGUUAACAAUUUAGAAGGGAGUGUUGAAGUAUAAAUUGUUUCAGGCUUUUGGAUUGUUAGUUAGCCAGGUGUAUGGCUCAUAUGCCAUCACAUAUUGUUGGACUAACAUGUCCAGAUUCAUGCCAAGUGUACAGCUCACAGGCUGGUACAAAUGUAUUGGCUGAGUCAUUUUUGUACUAGCUACAAUAUAUAUAUUGAAAGUAGAAUGAGAUCACACAGUGUGUGUGCGCAUGAUAACAAUCAUUGCCUAACAGACUCUUUCUCACUUUUCUCUCUAAAUCGUUUCCUCAUAUACUUUCUGUGCAAGAACACUCAGCAAUAUACAGAAACUCCAACAGAACAUAGGUUCUAAAUUAAACGAACAAGAUUAUGAGAAGAAAAUUGAAUCGGAAAAGGAAACUUUCUAGUUGACAGCAGAAAGUCAGCGAAAUAUUUUCUUCUCUUCUUGGAGGCGUGCUUCCCGUUUCUUUGAAUUCCUGGAAUGCGAGCUUGGUGUAGGGGCUGUGAAGAAAGAUGGAGUUUUCCUUGUUACUUUUUUGUCAAGUAGCGCACUUCACUUCCCUUUCGCUUCUAUUGGCUGUUGUAUGUUUCCUUUUGAUUUGCUUUUAUUUCUAUUUUAUUUAAUAAAGCUAGAAAGUGGCGUAUAACACUUGCCAAGGGAAAAUUGUCUUCCUUCUUUUUCUUUGAAUCUUGUAUAACCUGAAACCAAAAUAACUUUAAGAGAGAAAAAUAAUAAUAAUAAAGAAAAGAAAACUUACAACAAAAAAAAAAACUCAAUUAGAAGUAAAUUAGGAAUCCAAAUUCUAAAUUAAUUUAGGAAUUCCCGGCAAUGGCGCCAAAAACUAUAGCAUGAAAAUUUUCUAAAGUAUUGGACUCGAGGGGUUUUUCUUUAUAGUAUAGAUAAAACAGGUUUAUAUGUGAAAUGACCUAAUCUUUUUACAAACACGAUGCAAGAACAAAUUGUACCAUACAUCAGGAACACAAAAGAAAAGAAGAAGAAAAAGAAAAAAAAAGGAAAAGCAAACUAAAAAUGCAAAAUAAAAAGUACAAAAUUAAUAAUAUAUAUCUAGAUUCUAAGUGACGAACUCGGCUUUUGAGAUCUUUCCGUUUCUCGCCUAGGGAAAAAGUAAGCAACCCCCAUUUUCUUCCCGAACAGACCUAGGUUGUUUAGAAACUUCCCUCUACUUCUUUUCAUCGUGUUGAUGCGCACUGUUACCAUCACAUAGAGCCUAUCUUGUAGAUUUUCUGUGAAUCGAAAAUACGCAUAUCUCCAUGUCUUGUUAAUAAUUAAAGAACCACAGACUCCCCAAAAUCCCAAUAUAAACCCCAAUGCAGCAAAAAUAUAAAACGACGGAAGAACCACAGGUCGUCAUCUUUUCUCAGUUCACACGCAAAAGAGUUUGUAAGAGGAAGAAGAGCAGAGCAAUGAGUGGAGAAGAAUUAGCCGCCCACCCCACCCGCCGCCGCGCCCUCCUCUCCCCAGCCCCAAAGCUCCUUUGUCUGCUUUAUUUUGUGGGCGCUUCUUCUAAUUGCAGGAAGAAUCGGGGUUAUUUUAGAGAGAUCCUCGACGCUACGAGGGGAAUGGCAUUGGGGUAUUAAUCUGUUUUCUUUUGUUCUUGUUUCCGAGAAGGCUCUAUGGCAAAAACCAGAUGAUCAGUUUUUCGAGUUGUAUUUGUUGCUUACAAAAGGAACACACUAUUAAAAGAAACAAACUGUGCAUUAUUACAUCAGGACAGGAACACAAAAGAAACGAUAAAAAAGACUGAAGAUGUGAAAUCAAAUGAAGUACAAUAAUAUCUAGCCUCUGAGCUUUCUCUUCAUCCUAUUCAUGGACACUGUCAUCAUCACAUAGACCCUAUCUUGUAUAUUGUCUGUGAAUCGAAAAUAUCCAUGUCUCCACGUUCCCUUAAUAAUUAAAGAACCACACACUCCCCAAAAUCCUACAAUGAAGCCUAGCACAACAGAAAUAUAAAACCAUGGCAGUUGGUGACCACUGUCCACAUCGUGGUUGUUCUUCUUAUCUGCUGCAUCAAUGCCGUUGAUCGGCCCGCACUCAUUCGGAACUGGGGCUCCACAAAGUUUUGGAUUCCCCUCAAAUGCAGAAGCAUUGAGGCUUUAGAGCUGAGUGCUUGUUGGUAUUGGUCCUAUGAGAUCAUUGUACGAGACAUUAAGGGCAUGCAAGAAAUGCAGGCUAGCCAAUGGGGACGGGAUGUUUCCAGACAAAUCAUUCCUGGACAGAUCCAAGGCUGAUGAGAGUGUGAUUAAAGUCCCUAAGCUGAAAUGGUGUAUUCACUUAGUCUCUAAAAUAGGCAAGUGUGAGGCGUCAGUUAGUGUUAAGUGGCUAUAGCCAUGUGUAAAGAUCUUAGAAGGCAGUUUUGGAUAUAAGGCUGUGAUUCUCAAGUGAUGUAUGAGAAUCCAGCUAUUCUUCUAAUUGCUAUAUAGCACACACUGUGCUUGCCCGAAAUGUGGUAGAGAGAAUACAAUAGAAAAUACAAAACUUAUUUUGAUUCAGCUCUUCUCCCUUCUCUCUUCUCUCUGUAUAUUUUUCCUAAACUCUAACAUGGCCUCAGAGCCAGGUUGGGUCUCUUGAUCUGGGCGUAAAACUGUGAAGGUCACUGAGCUCAAUCGAAGCUGAGCUGAACAUCUGAGAAGAGAAGCUGCUGUGAUUCAGACCAAACGAUGGCUGGAUCUGGAAGUUCAGACGUACGAACUCCGAUCUUCUCCGGUGAGAACUACGAGUUCUGGAGGAUCAAGAUGGUGACAAUCUUCAAAUCUCUUGGGCUGUGGGGUCUGGUAGAAAAGGGGAUUCCAGUCUCUGAUUCGAAGAUGAAGACCAAGAAAGUUGAAGAAUCAUCGGAGGAAGAAGCUGAAGCAGAGAUGUGUGCUGUGCUCAUGAAGGAUGCAAAGGCACUGGGCAUCAUACAAAACGCUGUCUCUGACCAGAUCUUCCCUCGGAUUGCAAAUGCCGAUUCAACAAAAAUGGCUUGGACUCUGCUCUACAGUGAAUAUCAUGGAGGUGAUCAGGUUAGAUCUGUAAAGCUUCAGAAUCUUAGACGAGAAUUUGAGUAUAUGAGGAUGCGUGAAGGUGAACAACUUACUGCAUAUCUUACUCGAUUAAAUGAAUUGAUAAAUCAAAUGAAAACAUUUGGAGAGGUGUUAUCAAACGAGAGGCUGGUUCAAAAGGUGUUAAUCAGUCUUAGUAGAGUUUAUGAUCCCAUCUGUUUGGUGAUUGAAAAUACAAAGAGUUUGGAGACCAUUGAAUUGCAGGAGGUUAUUGCAAUAUUGAAGAGUCAAGAGCAACGUUUUGACAUGCAUAAUGUGGACAUAACUGAGAAAGCAUUUGGUUCUUUCUCAAUCGAUCAAAAGGGGCAGAACAAGAAUAAUGCUCAGUUUGGUUCUGCCAAGUCUCAGAAGAGUUGGAAGCCUAACAACAAACCAUGGGAGUCUAGACAGAAGCCACAGCAAGCUGGCGCUGGACAGACUUCAAAUGGAUCACAUCUUGUGCAGCAAGAUGGGGUGAAGCCUCAAUGUAAGGUCUGCUCUAAAUUUCACUAUGGAGAAUGCAGAUAUAAGGGUCAAUCCAAGUGCUAUAAGUGUGAUAGAUUUGGACAUUGGGCCAGAGACUGCACUGCAAACAAAGGAGGACAGAAAGCAAAUAAUGCAAGCCAAGUAGAAGUAAGAGGGAAUCUGUUUUUUGCAAACUGUGCAAUUUCAGAAAAAGGUGAAAAUGGAGAAUGGUAUGUAGACAGUGGCUGCAGUAACCACAUGACUGGGAAGAAGGAGCUGUUAAUUGACAUAAACUCAAAAGUCACAGGCAAGGUGCAAAUGCCAACAGGGGAGCUUGUAAGUAUAGCCGGCAUGGGCACUUUGGUGCUUGACACAAACUCUGGUGCAAAGUAUAUCAGAGAGGUCAUGUAUCUGCCUGGUUUGAGAGAAAAUCUCUUGAGUGUGGGCCAAAUGGAUGAACAUGGUUAUCAUUUGGUAUUUGAGAGCAACAUGUGCAGCAUCUAUGAUAGUUCUUCUCUUGAGAACCUUGUUAUGAAGGUGGAAAUGAGAAAGAAUAGAUGUUAUCCACUAUCAUUACCCUCAAAUGAUUUUGUUGCACUAAGAGCUGGUGUAGUCAACUCUACUUGGGUUUGACAUAAAAGAAUGGGGCACUUACACUUGAAAGGCCUAAACCAACUCAAGGAAAAAGAGAUGGUACAUGGGCUGCCACAUUUGGAAACUGUAAAUGGAGUGUGUGAAGGCUGCCAAUUAGGAAAACAACACAGAGAGUGGUUUCCUAAAGAUCAAGCAUGGAGAGCUAGUAGACCUCUUGAACUUAUACACAUGGACUUGUGUGGACCAAUGCAAAAUGAAUCUCUAGGAGGUAACAAAUAUUUCAUGUUACUCAUAGACGAUUUUACAAGGAUGAUUUGGGUCUACUUCUUGAGAUACAAGUCGGAUGCACUAAAUUGUUUUCGAAAAUUCAAGUCUAUGGUGGAGUUGCAAAGUGGUUACAAAGUGAAAUGUGUUCGAAGUGAUAGAGGGGGUGAGUUCACUUCUAGUGAAUUCAAUAAACUAUGUGAAGAUGCAGGGAUUCAAAGACAAUUCUCCAUGGCUUACACACCCCAGCAAAAUGGGGUGGUAGAGAGGAAAAAUAGGACUGUGGUAGAGAUGGCUAAGGCUAUGUUGCAUGAGAAGGAGCUGCCCUAUUAUCUAUGGGCAGAAGCUGUCCACACAGCAGUGUACAUCUUGAAUAGAUGUCCUACUAAGGCUCUUAGGGACAAGACUCCUUUUGAGGCCUAUAGCACCAGAAAACCAGGUGUUGCUCAUUUAAAAGUGUUUGCCAGUGUGUGUUUUGUGCAUAAACCAGAGGAGAAUAGACAGAAAUUGGAUGCCAAAAGCACAAGGGGAGUUUUUGUUGGAUAUGCAACAUGUGAGAAGGGCUAUAGAGUGUUUGAUCCUAUCACUAGAAAACUACUCUUAUCAAGGGAUGUUGUAUUUGAUGAAGGAACAAGCUGGAAUUGGAAAGAAGUGUCUGACAAUUCUGUGGUUAUGAUGGACUUUGAGGAGCAGCCUAGAAAUGCUCAAGNNNNNNNNNNNNNNNNNNNNNNNNNNNNNNNNNNNNNNNNNNNNNNNNNNNNNNNNNNNNNNNNNNNNNNNNNNNNNNNNNNNNNNNNNNNNNNNNNNNNNNNNNNNNNNNNNNNNNNNNNNNNNNNNNNNNNNNNNNNNNNNNNNNNNNNNNNNNNNNNNNNNNNNNNNNNNNNNNNNNNNNNNNNNNNNNNNNNNNNNNNNNNNNNNNNNNNNNNNNNNNNNNNNNNNNNNNNNNNNNNNNNNNNNNNNNNNNNNNNNNNNNNNNNNNNNNNNNNNNNNNNNNNNNNNNNNNNNNNNNNNNNNNNNNNNNNNNNNNNNNNNNNNNNNNNNNNNNNNNNNNNNNNNNNNNNNNNNNNNNNNNNNNNNNNNNNNNNNNNNNNNNNNNNNNNNNNNNNNNNNNNNNNNNNNNNNNNNNNNNNNNNNNNNNNNNNNNNNCCAGUGGCUAGAUUAGACACUAUUCGAACCUUGAUUGCCCUUGCAGCUGAGAAGGGUUGGCAGCUGUACCAAUUGGAUGUCAAGUCAGCUUUUCUAAAUGGUAUUUUAGAGGAAGAAGUGUAUGUAGACCAACCGGAAGGAUUUGUGGUAAAAGGAAGUGAAAGCAAGGUUUACAAACUACACAAAGCUCUAUAUGGCUUGAAACAGGCGCCAAGAGCUUGGUAUAGUGAAAUUGAUGGUUAUUUUACUGAGUGUGGAUUUACAAAGAGUCAAAGUGAAGCUACACUUUAUGUCAAAGCAAGAGGUGCAGAAAAUAUCUUGAUAGUUUCCAUUUAUGUAGAUGAUAUAGUCUACACUGGAAAUGAUCAUGAAAUGCUAGAAGAUUUCAGGAAGGACAUGAAGGAGAAGUAUGAAAUGACUGAUCUGGGACUCUUGCAUCACUUCUUGGGAAUGGGAGUGAUUCAAACACCAACAAGCAUAUUCAUUCAUCAGAAGAAGUAUGCAACAACUCUGUUGAGCAGAUUUGGCUUGAAUGAGUGUAAGCCGGUUUCUAUUCCACUAGUCACCUCAGAGAAGCUAAGUAAAGAUGAUGGGAGUGGCUUGGCAAGUGAAGAACACUACAGAAGGAUUGUUGGAAGUCUCCUGUACCUCACAGCUACCAGACCCGACAUUAUGUUUGCAGCUAGUUUGCUAGCAAGGUUCAUGCAUUGUCCCACUAGCAAACAUUUUGGAACAGCAAAACGUGUUCUUAGAUAUGUGAAAGGGACUCUAGAUUAUGGUCUGGAGUAUGUGAAAGGAAAAGGGGCAGUUCUAAUUGGCUAUUGUGACAGUGAUUGGAGUGGUUCAGUGGAUGAUAGCAAGAGCACUUCUGGAUAUGCUUUUUCUUUUGGUAGUGGAGUGUUUGCUUGGGCCUCAGUCAAGCAAAAUUGUGUUGCACUCUCCACUGCAGAAGCGGAGUACAUCAGUGCAUCUGAAGCAACAACACAAGCUAUUUGGUUGAGGUUUGUCCUAGAAGAUUUUGGAGAGCUUCAAGCAAAAGCAACACCUCUACACUGUGACAACAUUUCAGCCAUUGCCAUUACAAGGAAUCCUGUGUUUCAUCAGAAAACAAAACAUAUCGAUCGGAGGUAUCAUUUUAUUAAAGAUGCUUUGCAAGAAGGAACUGUGGAUCUGAUUUAUUGUCCCACAAAUGAGCAACUAGCAGACAUUUUUACUAAGGCAUUGGCUAAGGAUCGUUUCUGCUAUCUCAGAGAGAAACUUGGUGUGAAAUCAGCUCACAACUUAAAGGGGAGUGUUGAAAUAUAAGUGGUGAGCUGAUGAGAGUGUGAUUAAAGUCCCUAAGCUGAAAUGGUGUAUUCACUUAGUCUCUAAAAUAGGCAAGUGUGAGGCGUCAGUUAGUGUUAAGUGGCUAUAGCCACGUGUAAAGAUCUUAGAAGGCAGUUUUGGAUAUAAGGCUGUGAUUCUCAAGUGAUGUAUGAGAAUCCAGCUAUUCUUCUAACUGUUAUAUAGCACACACUGUGCUUGCCCGAAAUGUGGUAGAGAGAAUACAAUAGAAAAUACAAAACUUAUUUUGAUUCAGCUCUUCUCCCUUCUCUCUUCUCUCUGUAUAUUUUUCCUAAACUCUAACAGGUUGGAUAUUUGGGUUGGAAUGUUUCCAGAGAAGUUGUUGCUGCUAAGAUUCAACGUGUGAAGAAGCAUCAAUUGGCCGAUCUCAGUAGGUAUGCUACCAUUCAUGUUAUUGUUAGAUACGUCAAUCAUUGGUGGAAGAAAAGACACUACGUGCUGUAAAAAAGAUGGCCAUGGAUUUUCUCUGACAGUGGAGAUGGCAGGAAAUUCAAAUUCAUAAUGGUCAUCUACCUGAGAUUCAGGAAGUUGAUAUACCAAACUUGGUAGCCUGCAGAGUUUCUUGGGAUAUUCACCUGAAAUAAGGUUGUUAUGCAAUCUCAUAUGAAAGAGUCUUGGAAGAGUCCCCAACCAACUAGGAAUUGACCCCAUGAUUCUGUUACUGUCCAAAGUCAAGAUCUGGAGAUUAUUGAGCUUUGAUAACCAUAUAGGUAUUGGACCGGUGAUCCCACACCUACUCAAACCUAAAACUCGAAGAUUUUGGAAUCCAUCAUGAUCAACCAUGCCAUUAUCAUCUAGGUUUGCCCCACUGAUAAAGGAACCCGAAAGGCAGAGCGUUCGAAGAGUUUUGCAUCGCAUUAAUAUCUUGAUUGCCCCAGCUAAAUUGGUCAAUCUGAUUUCAGCAAGCGAGAGGAAGGACAAGGAUUUCAAUGAAAGAAUCUCAGGAUGUAUCUGUCCUUGUAGAUUAUUGUCCCUUAAUCGAAUUGCUUGUAGGGACCGACAUGAGUAAAGGCCUGUUGGCAAGUUACCAAUGAAAUUAUUCCCAAAUAGGUCAAGUUUACUUAAUUGACUGAGUGUGGAGAAAUUAAGAGUGUAGAUAUCCCCUCCCAAGUUGUUGGCUGCCAGACGCACUUCUAUAAGAUUUGUGCAGUUCAUCAAAGAUGGGAGCAAAGAACCUUGGAGAUUGUUGAAAUCAAGGAUUACGUGGCUCAACUUGGACAGCUUCCCGAACUGGAGAGGGAGCACACCACUCAAUUGAUUAAAGGAGAGGUCAAUGAUUUCCAAGUUGGUAAGGUCAGCAAUUCGGUCACUUAUUGCUCCAUAUAAUGAGUUUCUUCAAGUUCGGUAGCAUUGUAGAUAUCUUCCGGAAGUAAUCCUGUGAUGUUAUUGUGAUGAGCACAAAAAACCUGCAGUUUAGAACACUCCCCUAAUCCUGGCAAAAUGAUGCCACUAAAAUUAUUGGAGGAAACAUCCAAAUGCCUUAUUAAAGGAGAAGAAUGUUGGAGACAAAUAGAGGAUGGGAUAGACCCUGAGAAGGCAUUAUUGCUAGCAUUGAAACUAGUCAAAUGCCAAGCUCCAUGGAAGAAUGUAGGAGGAAUCGCACCAUGCAGGUGAUUGCUGGACAAAUCCACUGUCAGGAUGUUGCUGGAAUGGAAGUUAAAGAAGAUGGUAGCUUUCCGGAAAGAAGGUUGUGGCUCAAAUCGAGGACCUCAAGACUUUUCAAGGAUAAGAAGAGUUCAGUUGGAACAAGUGAGCCAUAAAGUGAGUUGUGGGACAGAUUGAUGUGUGGGUAAGAUGUGUGAGAUUUGCAAGUGAUGCGGGCUUAAAACCUCCCUUGAUCUCUUUGGAGGGCAGGAUCAAAUGGGUCACCCAACCAUCCUGAUUACAACUGAUGCUGCUCCAAUGGCAGCAGUUAAUGGAAGAACUCCAAUUAAAUGGAGGAGAAGAGAGAGUGUGAGCGAAGGAGGCCAGGGGAGAGCUGCGUUCAGUUUGGCUGCAUGCACGAACAUUUGGAAAUAUAAUGGAAGAGAAUAGGAGGACGAGGAGGAAGACGAGCCAUUCGGUUAUUAGAAGGCUACACUACCGUGCAUGUUAGGUUUAGAUUGUUAACAGCAGGCUACAUUAUUAUACUUUAUUCGCAAGACAGCAUUAUUUAAGGAUUUGGAAAAUUUGUGGGUUCUAAUAAAUUUCUCAGGUUUUACUGCCUGCUAAAGACAUAAGAUCACUAUCUUGAUUAAAUGUGUCAAUGUGAAAAGGGGAGUAUGAAUGGGGUUCUCCGUUUUGGUUUUGUCGACAGCCCUUCUUCUUUUGCUUCUAUUGGCUGCUCCUGAGAAAAGAACAAAGGUUCUAAAUUAAACGAACAAGAUUAUGAGAAGAAAAUUGAAUCGGAAAAGGAAACUUUCUAGUUGACAGCAGAAAGUCAGCGAAAUAUUUUCGUCUCUUCUUGGAUGCGUGCUUCCCGUUUCUUUGAUUUCCUGGAAUGCGAGCUUGGUGUAGCGGCUGUGAAGAA
rnacentral:lncRNA from 1 species